rnacentral:lncRNA from 1 species
UGGGCUGAGCGAGAGCGCGGGCGGGCCGCGGGGGCCGGGCAUGGUGCUCUGAGGCGCUCUCGUUUCGCUGCGAGGGUCUGCUGAGGGUCAAUUGAUUUGCCUUUCAGCGCGGGGGGAGAAAGAGUUUUAACCCCGUUUUUUUGUUAGUGGAGACCUGUAAAGAGAAGGAAAUGAAAACUGAAAUAGUCACACGGUGUUGUGUCCCUUCCAGCUAACUGCUACGAAACACUCCUUGCUGCAGCGUGGGCUUGCACAGAUUCCUGUGCUUCCGCCUCAAGAAGCACAGACAAGCAUAAGGAAGUCUCAGGGCAAAUCCUGUUUAGGAGACAGCUGCACAGAAAAGAUAAUUCAAGAGUAGACCAUAGCAGGUCAAAUAUGAAGAGUGGCUUCCCACCUCUGCUCCCAGCAGUACGUGCUAGCCAAAAGCUGUUAGGGAGUUGUUUCCAGACAACUGAGAGCAUUUUAAAGGCCACACUCACCUGGGUGUUGGGUUUGAAUAGCAGAUUUUCCCUUCUGUAGAUUCUCCCUUCUCGUCUGGUGUUACAGUGUGAGCUCCCAGCCUUGUUUCAGUGUGCUUGCUCUCUGGGCUGAAGACCACAUAUUAGCUCGGAGCAGCAUUCGGGCAGCACUUUUAACAAGGAGCUUCUCGUCUGUUUGACAUGGGAGUAGAGAAAAGUUGGGCAGGCCAUGCAGUAUGGGUUCUUACAUAGGCCUCUGUAUGGAUGAGUGUGAUACUUGUGUGCAAAGGACAGGAAAUCUCAGAAGGGAGAACACGUCACUAAGGACAGAGAGAUCAGGACUAGCUCAGCCUGACCACGGAAAUGUCAAUGGGAAGAAGGAGCAGGACACAGUGGCGACCUUCCUUCUGCUGCCCUUGGAAGCUCUGUCUGGGACACGUGCCUUUGACCAGGUGCACCUGGUCAAAGAGGAUCCAGCUGCCCACCCUGUCUGCCUCUCUCCAGUGUGCCCCCUGUGACUGGGGAGAAAAAAAGGACACGAAGCUGCAGAGCGUGAAGCGAGUUGCAGGUCCUGUCUGUCCAAGGGAUCACAUUUGGACCACAUGGGCUGGCAAGUACCAGGGCCAAUGUGACCAAGCCACGGCCCUGAAGAGGGGCCAAGUCUCCUGGGGAGCUGGAGCCCAAAGGGAAAUAAACAUGGUAAACCCAAUGGACAACACUUAG